rnacentral:rRNA from 1 species
GACGAACGCUGGCGGCGUGCUUAACACAUGCAAGUCGAACGGAAAGGCCCCUUUGGGGGUACUCGAGUGGCGAACGGGUGAGUAACACGUGAGUAACCUGCCCUUGACUUCGGGAUAACUUCAGGAAACUGGGGCUAAUACCGGAUAGGAAUCCUUGCUGCAUGGUGGGGGUUGGAAAGCUUCGGCGGUUUUGGAUGGACUCGCGGCUUAUCAGCUUGUUGGUGGGGUAGUGGCUUACCAAGGCUUUGACGGGUAGCCGGCCUGAGAGGGCGACCGGCCACAUUGGGACUGAGCGACGGCCCAGACUCCGAAGGGAGGCAGAAGGGGGGAAUAUUGCACAAUGGGAGGAAGCCUGAUGCAGCAACGCCGCGUGCGGGAUGACGGCCUUCGGGUUGUAAGCCGAUUUCAGCAGGGGCGAAGCUUGUGGUGACGGUACCUGAAGAAGAAGCAACGGCUAACUACGUG